AGUGUACAUAUGUGUGUACUGUACGCUUAUUCUGCUGUUUUUUGUUUUUGUUUUCUUUCUCCUCUUCUAUUAUGAAGCUGUAAAUGACGGCAACCUUCUAAUUUAUUAAGGACUGAUUUGGGGAUGGGAGUAAAUAAGCUUGUCUUCAUCCCACUCCCUUCCAAGCUGUUUUUUUCUUUCUUUUUCCUUCUAGAUUUUUCUUUUCAAUAUUGCUUUGUGU